CAUCAUUCUGGGGGUGGAACGCAGUACUCAGGUUCACUUGGGUACCUAAACCCCUCUGAAAAAGACCACCAAAACUGCUAAGAGAAUUACGUGCCUCGAUUAGAUAUAAUGGAUACUGAUGCCCCAUGUAAGUGAACAUUUGCUCAAUGUAUAGCCAGGCAUAAUCAUCCCUCGAAUAGUUAGUCCUCACUGGCAGAAAAUGACGUGACUUGAUCAUCCGAUCUAUAAUCACUCAAAU
rnacentral:lncRNA from 1 species